CAAGAUUUGAAAAUAAUGCAUAAACCAGAAACAAGAAUCUAUAUGCUCUUUCAUAUAUAAUCUAAUAAUAAUCCAUCCGUCCUCGCUGGCACACAAAAUAGCGAACAAACCCAAAUGAAAUAAAAAUUAAAUUUAUAUCUGAAACAAUUGAAACAAACUCACAAGCAUCCAAAGCACAUCAUGUUGGCUACCAUCUCUUUAUCUAAUCCUUUCUCUGGUAUCAAUCUGAGUUUGGCUUCAUAAAUCAUAUUUAGGCAUCACUGAAGAGGGUCAACUCCUUAAUUCACUUUCGUUUCUUCAGGUUUUUUCUCCGGUGAUAUUUCAUUGCUUUUGGGCUCUACUAGUUCAGGUGUGGCUCCAGUUACCUUCUCUGCUUCCACCUUUACUGGACCAGCACCAACAGUUAAUGAUGGAAUUGGUUCAACUGGGAUUUCAGAUUUUUCAGCUUCUGUUAACUUAGUUUCUGAAACCUCCACAGAUUUUUCAAUUCCUGAAUGUUCUUGUUUCGCUGGCCCCACUGUCUUUUGAGUCACUUGCUGCUCUUCUUUCUCUGCCUCACUAGGUUUUUCAGUUUUUGACAGCACUUGUUUCAAUGACUCCACAGGUUUUUCUGUCCCUAGCCCUUCUUUCGCUGGCUGCACAGAUUCUUUGCUCAUUGAUGGUUCAAGUCUCACUGGCUCCACAGGAUUUGAAGUCACGGGCUCUUGGACUGUUGGCUCCUUAGGUUUUUCAGUCUCUAAUGAUUCUUUUUUCACUGGUUCCUCCUGUGAAUUCACACUUUUUGCUGCUUCUUGUUUCACUGGUUCCUCUGGUGACUUCACACUUUUUGCUGCUUCUUGUUUCACUGGUUCCUCUGGUGACUUCACACUUUUUGCUGCUUCUUGUUUCACUGGUUCCUCUGGUGAC
rnacentral:misc_RNA from 1 species